AUGGCCGAGUGGAGCAGACGUCCACCACCGAUCAAACCAGGACGGCGAGGGCCAAUGCGAGGGUGGCCUUCGCAGCCCUCCAAUCGUGUGAGCAGGCGCCGGGUGGCUUGGCAUCGGCAGGCACGUUGGGUGACGAUAGAUCUAGCGACGCCGCCGGCGGCAUGUGCCUCCCCGGUAAUGGGGAAGCGAGCAAGCAGGGACUAUCGUGUUUUCUGUCUAGAAUUCCAGAUGUUGUCCCGUUUCCUGUAUGGGUCCUGUCAAGAUUUUUCUCAGUCCAUCAUACACAAAAUUGAGAAGGUUGGUUUGCUGUUGUAUACGCAUAUUGAAUUUUCCUUUUAG
rnacentral:rRNA from 1 species